AGUCGAACGAUGAAGCAGAGCUUGCUCUGUGGAUUAGUGGCGAACGGGUGAGUAACACGUGAGUAACCUGCCCUUGACUCUGGAAUAAGCGUUGGAAACGACGUCUAAUACUGGAUACGAGCUUCAGCCGCAUGGCUAGGAGCUGGAAAGAAUUUCGGUCAAGGAUGGACUCGCGGCCUAUCAGGUAGUUGGUGAGGUAAUGGCUCACCAAGCCUACGACGGGUAGCCGGCCUGAGAGGGUGACCGGCCACACUGGAACUGAGACACGGUCCAGACUCCUACGGGAGGCAGCAGUGGGGAAUAUUGCACAAUGGGCGAAAGCCUGAUGCAGCAACGCCGCGUGAGGGACGACGGCCUUCGGGUUGUAAACCUCUUUUAGUAGGGAAGAAGCGAUGUGCUUGUCACAUCAUGACGGUACCUGCAGAAAAAGCACCGGCUAACUACGUGCCAGCAGCCGCGGUAAUACGUAGGGUGCAAGCGUUAUCCGGAAUUAUUGGGCGUAAAGAGCUCGUAGGCGGUUUGUCGCGUCUGCUGUGAAAACCGGAGGCUCAACCUCCGGCCUGCAGUGGGUACGGGCAGACUAGAGUGCGGUAGGGGAGAUUGGAAUUCCUGGUGUAGCGGUGGAAUGCGCAGAUAUCAGGAGGAACACCAAUGGCGAAGGCAGAUCUCUGGGCCGUAACUGACGCUGAGGAGCGAAAGCAUGGGGAGCGAACAGGAUUAGAUACCCUGGUAGUCCAUGCCGUAAACGUUGGGAACUAGAUGUAGGGACCAUUCCACGGUUUCUGUGUCGCAGCUAACGCAUUAAGUUCCCCGCCUGGGAGUACGGCCGCAAGGCUAAAACUCAAAGGAAUUGACGGGGGCCCGCACAAGCGGCGGAGCAUGCGGAUUAAUUCGAUGCAACGCGAAGAACCUUACCAAGACUUGACAUAUACGAGAACGGGCCAGAAAUGGUCA
rnacentral:rRNA from 1 species